CCUACGGGAGGCAGCAGUGGGGAAUAUUGGACAAUGGGCGCAAGCCUGAUCCAGCAAUGCCGCGUGAGUGAUGAAGGCCUUAGGGUCGUAAAGCUCUUUUACCAGGGAUGAUAAUGACAGUACCUGGAGAAUAAGCUCCGGCUAACUCCGUGCCAGCAGCCGCGGUAAUACGGAGGGAGCUAGCGUUGUUCGGAAUUACUGGGCGUAAAGCGUACGUAGGCGGUUAUUCAAGUCAGAGGUGAAAGCCCGGGGCUCAACCCCGGAACGGCCUUUGAAACUAGGUAGCUAGAAUCUUGGAGAGGUCAGUGGAAUUCCGAGUGUAGAGGUGAAAUUCGUAGAUAUUCGGAAGAACACCAGUGGCGAAGGCGACUGACUGGACAAGUAUUGACGCUGAGGUACGAAAGCGUGGGGAGCAAACAGGAUUAGAUACCCUGGUAGUCCACGCCGUAAACGAUGAUAACUAGCUGUUCGGGCACUUGGUGCUUGAGUGGCGCAGCUAACGCAUUAAGUUAUCCGCCUGGGGAGUACGGUCGCAAGAUUAAAACUCAAAGAUAGUGACGUCGNGAGUAGCGACGAGACACAGGAGGUAGAG
rnacentral:rRNA from 1 species